rnacentral:rRNA from 1 species
UUAAAAUGAGAGUUUGAUCCUGGCUCAGGACGAACGCUGGCGGCGUGCCUAAUACAUGCAAGUCGAGCGAGCGGAACUAACAGAUUUACUUCGGUAAUGACGUUAGGAAAGCGAGCGGCGGAUGGGUGAGUAACACGUGGGGAACCUGCCCCAUAGUCUGGGAUACCACUUGGAAACAGGUGCUAAUACCGGAUAAGAAAGCAGAUCGCAUGAUCAGCUUUUAAAAGGCGGCGUAAGCUGUCGCUAUGGGAUGGCCCCGCGGUGCAUUAGCUAGUUGGUAAGGUAAAGGCUUACCAAGGCGAUGAUGCAUAGCCGAGUUGAGAGACUGAUCGGCCACAUUGGGACUGAGACACGGCCCAAACUCCUACGGGAGGCAGCAGUAGGGAAUCUUCCACAAUGGACGCAAGUCUGAUGGAGCAACGCCGCGUGAGUGAAGAAGGUUUUCGGAUCGUAAAGCUCUGUUGUUGGUGAAGAAGGAUAGAGGUAGUAACUGGCCUUUAUUUGACGGUAAUCAACCAGAAAGUCACGGCUAACUACGUGCCAGCAGCCGCGGUAAUACGUAGGUGGCAAGCGUUGUCCGGAUUUAUUGGGCGUAAAGCGAGCGCAGGCGGAAGAAUAAGUCUGAUGUGAAAGCCCUCGGCUUAACCGAGGAACUGCAUCGGAAACUGUUUUUCUUGAGUGCAGAAGAGGAGAGUGGAACUCCAUGUGUAGCGGUGGAAUGCGUAGAUAUAUGGAAGAACACCAGUGGCGAAGGCGGCUCUCUGGUCUGCAACUGACGCUGAGGCUCGAAAGCAUGGGUAGCGAACAGGAUUAGAUACCCUGGUAGUCCAUGCCGUAAACGAUGAGUGCUAAGUGUUGGGAGGUUUCCGCCUCUCAGUGCUGCAGCUAACGCAUUAAGCACUCCGCCUGGGGAGUACGACCGCAAGGUUGAAACUCAAAGGAAUUGACGGGGGCCCGCACAAGCGGUGGAGCAUGUGGUUUAAUUCGAAGCAACGCGAAGAACCUUACCAGGUCUUGACAUCUAGUGCCAUUUGUAGAGAUACAAAGUUCCCUUCGGGGACGCUAAGACAGGUGGUGCAUGGCUGUCGUCAGCUCGUGUCGUGAGAUGUUGGGUUAAGUCCCGCAACGAGCGCAACCCUUGUUAUUAGUUGCCAGCAUUAAGUUGGGCACUCUAAUGAGACUGCCGGUGACAAACCGGAGGAAGGUGGGGAUGACGUCAAGUCAUCAUGCCCCUUAUGACCUGGGCUACACACGUGCUACAAUGGGCAGUACAACGAGAAGCGAGCCUGCGAAGGCAAGCGAAUCUCUGAAAGCUGUUCUCAGUUCGGACUGCAGUCUGCAACUCGACUGCACGAAGCUGGAAUCGCUAGUAAUCGCGGAUCAGCACGCCGCGGUGAAUACGUUCCCGGGCCUUGUACACACCGCCCGUCACACCAUGGGAGUCUGCAAUGCCCAAAGCCGGUGGCCUAACCUUCGGGAAGGAGCCGUCUAAGGCAGGGCAGAUGACUGGGGUGAAGUCGUAACAAGGUAGCCGUAGGAGAACCUGCGGCUGGAUCACCUCCUUUCUAAGGAA